UACGUAGGGGGCAAGCGUUGUCCGGAAUCAUUGGGCGUAAAGAGCGUGUAGGCGGCCUGGUAAGUCCGCUGUGAAAGUCCAGGGCUCAACCCUGGAAUGCCGGUGGAAACUGUCAGGCCCGAGUCCGGAAGAGGCGAGUGGAAUUCCUGGUGUAGCGGUGAAAUGCGCAGAUAUCAGGAGGAACACCGGUGGCGAAGGCGGUUCUCUGGGCCUGACCUGACGCUGAGGAGCGAAAGCGUGGGGAGCGAACAGG
rnacentral:rRNA from 1 species